rnacentral:rRNA from 1 species
UACAGAGGUCCCGAGCGUUGUUCGGAUUCAUUGGGCGUAAAGGGUGCGUAGGUGGCGCUGUAAGUGGGGUGUGAAAUCCCGGGGCUUAACUCCGGAACUGCAUUCCAUACUGCGGUGCUUGAGGACUGGAGAGGAGACUGGAAUUUACGGUGUAGCAGUGAAAUGCGUAGAGAUCGUAAGGAAGACCAGUGGCGAAGGCGGGUCUCUGGACAGUUCCUGACACUGAGGCACGAAGGCCAGGGAGCAAACGGG